rnacentral:rRNA from 1 species
UGAGUAACACGUAUCCAACCUGCCGUCUACUCUUGGACAGCCUUCUGAAAGGAAGAUUAAUACAAGAUGGCAUCAUGAGUCCGCAUGUUCACAUGAUUAAAGGUAUUCCGGUAGACGAUGGGGAUGCGUUCCAUUAGAUAGUAGGCGGGGUAACGGCCCUCCUAGUCUUCGAUGGAUAGGGGUUCUGAGAGGAAGGUCCCCCACAUUGGAACUGAGACACGGUCCAA